AGAACAGCAAAUGCUACAGGACGUCAUUUCCCCAGCUGCCGCUAGUCGAAGUACUGAGACUGAAAGCUUGCUGGUUCAAUUCCCUGUCAGGGCACAUGCCUGAGAUGUGGGCCAGAUCUCUGCUUGGGCUGGAAGCAUCUUGAUACCACUGGUAUCCCCAAACCCAAAGGACAGCGUUUCAUGAAAGACACAGGGAAGUCAAGAAGAAUGAUAGAAAAGUACUCACAGGCUAAUGCAAGUAACUAUGUGAAAACAAUUACGGAGUUUUUGCAAAGUGAUUCAUGGUUUUAUUCAACAUUCACUCACUAGAAUAAGCUCCAUGAGGUUCUUUCAGACACAUUUAAAAAAAUGAAAUGAGAAUAUCCACUAAUAUGAAGCAACAUGAAUAAACAGAAUCAGAAGGCAAAUUCCAAACAGAUCACUGCUAUAAAUAGAGACAUGGAAAUGUCAGAACAGAGAAGUUCCAAGAAAAAACAAAACUGUAUGCCAAACUUUUCUUCCCCUGGUACCUAAGCAGCAGAAAACCUCCAUCUGAAAUUUAACCCAAUCACUGCUGCCUCAC